rnacentral:tRNA from 2 species
GGGCUUUUAGUUAAGCUGGCUAUAACACCUGCCUUGCAAGCAGGAGUCCUGGGUUCAAGUCCCAGUUAGUCCA